AGUGAACGCUGGCGGUAGGCCUAACACAUGCAAGUCGAACGGCAGCACAGUAAGAGCUUGCUCUUACGGGUGGCGAGUGGCGGACGGGUGAGGAAUACAUCGGAAUCUACUUUUUCGUGGGGGAUAACGUAGGGAAACUUACGCUAAUACCGCAUACGACCUACGGGUGAAAGCAGGGGAUCUUCGGACCUUGCGCGAUUGAAUGAGCCGAUGUCGGAUUAGCUAGUUGGCGGGGUAAAGGCCCACCAAGGCGACGAUCCGUAGCUGGUCUGAGAGGAUGAUCAGCCACACUGGAACUGAGACACGGUCCAGACUCCUACGGGAGGCAGCAGUGGGGAAUAUUGGACAAUGGGUGCAAGCCUGAUCCAGCCAUGCCGCGUGGGUGAAGAAGGCCUUCGGGUUGUAAAGCCCUUUUGUUGGGAAAGAAAAGCAGCAGGUUAAUACCCCGCUGUUCUGACGGUACCCAAAGAAUAAGCACCGGCUAACUUCGUG
rnacentral:rRNA from 1 species